UCGGCUUAGAGUUUGAUCAUGGCUCAGGACGAACGCUGGCGGCGUGCCUAAUACAUGCAAGUCGAACGAAUUGGUGCUUGCAUCAUUGAGUGGCGAACUGGUGAGUAACACGUGGGAAACCUGCCCAGAAGCGGGGGAUAACACCUGGAAACAGAUGCUAAUACCGCAUAACAACUUGACCGCAUGGUCCGAGUUGAAAGAUGUUCGUAUCACUUUUGGAUGGUCCCGCGGCGUAUUAGCUAGAUGGUGAGGUAACGGCUCACCAUGGCAAUGAUACGUAGCCGACCUGAGAGGGUAAUCGGCCACAUUGGGACUGAGACACGGCCCAAACUCCUACGGGAGGCAGCAGUAGGGAAUCUUCCACAAUGGACGAAAGUCUGAUGGAGCAACGCCGCGUGAGUGAAGAAGGGUUUCGGCUCGUAAAACUCUGUUGUUAAAGAAGAACAUAUCUGAGGUAAUUCAGGUAUUGACGGUAUUUAACCAGAAAGCCACGGCUAACUACGUGCCAGCAGCCGCGGUAAUACGUAGUGGCAAGCGUUGUCCGGAUUUAUUGGGCGUAAAGCGAGCGCACGCGGUUUUUUAAGUCUGAUGUGAAAGCCUUCGGCUCAACCGAAGAAGUGCAUCGGAAACUGGGAAACUUGAGUGCAGAAGAGA
rnacentral:rRNA from 1 species